UUGGAGGGCAAGUCUGGUGCCAGCAGCCGCGGUAAUUCCAGCUCCAAUAGCGUAUAUUAAAGUUGUUGCAGUUAAAAAGCUCGUAGUUGAAUUUCGGGACCAAUUUGUUGGUCGUGCCUCGGUACGUACUGGUAUUAUUGGUUUCUCCCCUCUGAAGAACCUUGAUGUCAUUAAUUUGGUGUCUUGGGGAAUCAGGACCGUUACUUUGAAAAAAUUAGAGUGUUUAAAGCAGGC
rnacentral:rRNA from 1 species